GACGAACGCUGGCGGCGUGCCUAAUACAUGCAAGUAGAACGCAGUUGCGAACGGGUGAGUAACGCGUCGGUAACUGCCUGGUAGCGGGUGCUAACUCUUGGAAACGAUACCUAAUACCGCAUACUACCAGAUGGACCUGCGUUGUAUUAGUUAGUUGGUGAGGUAACGGCCCACCAAGGCAACGAUACAUAGCCGACCUGGGAGGGUGAUCGGCCACACUGGGACUGGGACACGGCCCAGACUCCUAAGGGAGGCAGCAGUAGGGGAUCUUCGGCAAUGGGGGGAACCCUGACCGAGCAACGCCGCGGGAGUGAAGAAGGUUUUCGGGUCGGAAAGCUCUGUUGUUAAGGAAGCGGUACUUAACCAGAAAGGGACGGCUAACUACGUGCCAGCAGCCGCGGUAAUUC
rnacentral:rRNA from 1 species